rnacentral:rRNA from 1 species
AACGUACGCUGGCGGCACGCCUAACACAUGCAAGUCGAACGAAGUAGCAAUACUUAGUGGCAGACGGGUGAGUAACAUGUAGGUAUCUGCCCUUUGGCCUGGAAUAACACGAGGAAACUUGUGCUAAUACCGGAUAAGUCUUUACGGAGAAAGCUUUAUGCACCAUUGGAUGAGCCUGCACUUGAUUAGUUUGUUGGUGGGGUAAUGGCCUACCAAGACUGUGAUCAAUAGCUGAUUUGAGAGGAUGAUCAGCCACAUUGGGACUGAGACACGGCCCAAACUCCUACGGGGAGGCAGCAGUGGGGGAAUCUUGCACAAUGGAGGAAACUCUGAUGCAGCGAUGCCGCGUGAGUGAAGAAGGCCCUUGGGUUGUAAAGCUCUUUCGUCGGGGAAGAAAAUGACUGUACCCGAAUAAGAAGGUCCGGCUAACUUCGUGCCAGCAGCCGCGGUAAUU